ACGAACGCUGGCGGCGUGCCUAAUACAUGCAAGUAGAACGCUGAAGAGAGGAGCUUGCUCUUCUUGGAUGAGUUGCGAACGGGUGAGUAACGCGUAGGUAACCUGCCUGGUAGCGGGGGAUAACUAUUGGAAACGAUAGCUAAUACCGCAUAAAAUUGAUUAUUGCAUGAUAAUUAAUUGAAAGAUGCAAUUGCAUCACUACCAGAUGGACCUGCGUUGUAUUAGCUAGUUGGUGAGGUAACGGCUCACCAAGGCGACGAUACAUAGCCGACCUGAGAGGGUGAUCGGCCACACUGGGACUGAGACACGGCCCAGACUCCUACGGGAGGCAGCAGUAGGGAAUCUUCGGCAAUGGGGGGAACCCUGACCGAGCAACGCCGCGUGAGUGAAGAAGGUUUUCGGAUCGUAAAGCUCUGUUGUAAGAGAAGAACGGGUGUGAGAGUGGAAAGUUCACACUGUGACGGUAUCUUACCAGAAAGGGACGGCUAACUACGUGCCAGCAGCCGCGGUAAUACGUAGGUCCCGAGCGUUGUCCGGAUUUAUUGGGCGUAAAGCGAGCGCAGGCGGUUAGAUAAGUCUGAAGUUAAAGGCUGUGGCUUAACCAUAGUAUGCUUUGGAAACUGUUUAACUUGAGUGCAGAAGGGGAGAGUGGAAUUCCAUGUGUAGCGGUGAAAUGCGUAGAUAUAUGGAGGAACACCGGUGGCGAAAGCGGCUCUCUGGUCUGUAACUGACGCUGAGGCUCGAAAGCGUGGGGAGCAAACAGGAUUAGAUACCCUGGUAGUCCACGCCGUAAACGAUGAGUGCUAGGUGUUAGGCCCUUUCCGGGGCUUAGUGCCGCAGCUAACGCAUUAAGCACUCCGCCUGGGGAGUACGACCGCAAGGUUGAAACUCAAAGGAAUUGACGGGGGCCCGCACAAGCGGUGGAGCAUGUGGUUUAAUAAGAAGCAACGCGAAGAACCUUCCCAGGUCUUGACAUCCCUCUGACCGCUCUAGAGAUAGAGUUUUCCUUCGGGACAGAGGUGACAGGUGGUGCAUGGUUGUCGUCAGCUCGUGUCGUGAGAUGUUGGGUUAAGUCCCGCAACGAGCGCAACCCCUAUUGUUAGUUGCCAUCAUUCAGUUGGGCACUCUAGCGAGACUGCCGGUAAUAAACCGGAGGAAGGUGGGGAUGACGUCAAAUCAUCAUGCCCCUUAUGACCUGGGCUACACACGUGCUACAAUGGCUGGUACAACGAGUCGCAAGCCGGUGACGGCAAGCUAAUCUCUGAAAGCCAGUCUCAGUUCGGAUUGUAGGCUGCAACUCGCCUACAUGAAGUCGGAAUCGCUAGUAAUCGCGGAUCAGCACGCCGCGGUGAAUACGUUCCCGGGCCUUGUACACACCGCCCGUCACACCACGAGAGUUUGUAACACCCGAAGUCGGUGAGGUAACCGUAAGGAGCCAGCCGCCUAAGGUGGGAUAGAUGAUUGGGGUG
rnacentral:rRNA from 1 species